GCUGCGAUCUUUCUGGAAAAAGAAGCCAAAUCUAUUGAUACAAGAUGGUGAAUAUAUGCCUCAACAGAAAAAGAAAAAGAUCUUGGAAUUA